rnacentral:rRNA from 1 species
AUUGAACGCUGGCGGCAGGCCUAACACAUGCAAGUCGAGCGGAUGAAGGGAGCUUGCUCCUGGAUUCAGCGGCGGACGGGUGAGUAAUGCCUAGGAAUCUGCCUGGUAGUGGGGGAUAACGUCCGGAAACGGGCGCUAAUACCGCAUACGUCCUGAGGGAGAAAGUGGGGGAUCUUCGGACCUCACGCUAUCAGAUGAGCCUAGGUCGGAUUAGCUAGUUGGUGGGGUAAAGGCCUACCAAGGCGACGAUCCGUAACUGGUCUGAGAGGAUGAUCAGUCACAUUGGAACUGAGAAACGGUCCAGACUCCUAAGGGAGGCAGCAGUGGGGAAUAUUGGACAAUGGGGGAAAGCCUGAUCCAGCCAAGCCGCGUGUGUGAAGAAGGUCUUCGGAUUGUAAAGCACUUUAAGUUGGGAGAAAGGGCAGUAAGUUAAUACCUUGCUGUUUUGACGUUACCAAAAGAAUAAGCACCGGCUAACUUCGUG